AACGCAGCGAAGGGCGAUAAGUAAUGUGAAUUGCAGAAUUCAGUGAAUCAUCGAAUCUUUGAACGCACCUUGCGCCCUUUGGCUAUUCCGAAGGGCAUGCCUGUUUGAGUAUCAUGAACACCUCAACUCUCAUGGUUUGCCAUGAUGAGCUUGGACUUUGGGGGUCUUGUUGGCCUGUGAGCCAGCUCCUCUUAAAUGGAUUAGCUUGCCGGUGUUUGGUGGCGUCACAGGUGUGAUAACUAUCUACGCUUGUGGUUUCCCACCAGGUAACCUUCAGCAAUGGAGGUUCACCGGAGCUCAUAAAUGUCUCUCCUCAGCGAGGACAGAUUUUGACCGUUUGAUCUCAAAUCAGGUAGGACUACCCGCUGAACUUAA
rnacentral:rRNA from 1 species